rnacentral:rRNA from 4 species
GCAUAUCAAUAAGCGGAGGAAAAGAAACCAACAGGGAUUGCCCCAGUAACGGCGAGUGAAGCGGCAACAGCUCAAAUUUGAAAUCUGGCCCUUGGGUCCGAGUUGUAAUUUGUAGAGGAUGCUUUUGGCGAGGUGCCUUCCGAGUUCCCUGGAACGGGACGCCAUAGAGGGUGAGAGCCCCGUCUGGUCGGACACCGAGCCUCUGUAAAGCUCCUUCGACGAGUCGAGUAGUUUGGGAAUGCUGCUCAAAAUGGGAGGUAUAUGUCUUCUAAAGCUAAAUAUUGGCCAGAGACCGAUAGCGCACAAGUAGAGUGAUCGAAAGAUGAAAAGCACUUUGAAAAGAGGGUUAAAAAGUACGUGAAAUUGUUGAAAGGGAAGCGCCUAUGACCAGACUUGGGCCCGGUGAAUCAUCCAGCGUUCUCGCUGGUGCACUUUGCCGGGCACAGGCCAGCAUCAGUUUGGCGCGGGGGAAAAAGGCUUUGGGAAUGUGGCUCCCUCGGGAGUGUUAUAGCCCAUUGUGUAAUACCCUGCGCCGGACUGAGGUACGCGCAUUGCAAGGAUGCUGGCGUAAUGGUCAUCAGCGACCCGUCUUGAAACACGGACCA